rnacentral:misc_RNA from 1 species
AUAUAAUGAAUCUCAUCAUAAUUAAUUAACAGUUAAAUCAAUCUGCAAUACAUUUAACGGUUGUAAAUAAUAAUUUCUUAGAGAGAAGGGCAGUGUGUUGAAUUUGAGCUCAUGACUUCAUGCUAACUACACCUAUAUUUGAUCAAUUAAUUUACUACCAUGACGUCCUAAAAGGCCAUGACCUAGUAUAUAUGAGAAAUUUAUUGAAAUGAAAGCACUACCAAGACUUGAAUUAUUGAAGUAGAAACUAUGAAGCUUCUGACUUAACGUAAUAUGUAUUACCAAGACUUGAAAUUAAGG